rnacentral:tRNA from 1 species
UGGCUCAGUAGGUAGAGUGUGUGACUCUUGAUCUCAGGGCUGUGAGUUCGAGCCUUAC